UGGGGAAUAUUGCACAAUGGGCGAAAGCCUGAUGCAGCGACGCCGCGUGAGGGAUGACGGCCUUCGGGUUGUAAACCUCUUUCAGCAGGGAAGAAGCGAAAGUGACGGUACCUGCAGAAGAAGCGCCGGCUAACUACGUGCCAGCAGCCGCGGUAAUACGUAGGGCGCAAGCGUUGUCCGGAAUUAUUGGGCGUAAAGAGCUCGUAGGCGGUUAGUCGCGUCUGCUGUGAAAACUCGAGGCUCAACCUCGGGCUUGCAGUGGGUACGGGCUGACUAGAGUGCGGUAGGGGUGACUGGAAUUCCUGGUGUAGCGGUGGAAUGCGCAGAUAUCAGGAGGAACACCGAUGGCGAAGGCAGGUCACUGGGCCGCAACUGACGCUGAGGAGCGAAAGCAUGGGGAGCGAACAGGAUUAGAUACCCUGGUAGUCCAUGCCGUAAACGUUGGGCACUAGGUGUGGGGUCCAUUCCACGGAUUCCGUGCCGCAGCAAACGCAUUAAGUGCCCCGCCUGGGGAGUACGGCCGCAAGGCUAAACUCAAAUGAAUUGACGGGGUCAUAGCUGUUUCCU
rnacentral:rRNA from 1 species